AGUGAACGCUGGCGGUAGGCCUAACACAUGCAAGUCGAACGGCAGCACAGGAGAGCUUGCUCUCUGGGUGGCGAGUGGCGGACGGGUGAGGAAUACAUCGGAAUCUACUUUUUCGUGGGGGAUAACGUAGGGAAACUUACGCUAAUACCGCAUACGACCUACGGGUGAAAGCAGGGGACCUUCGGGCCUUGCGCGAUUGAAUGAGCCGAUGUCGGAUUAGCUAGUUGGCGGGGUAAAGGCCCACCAAGGCGACGAUCCGUAGCUGGUCUGAGAGGAUGAACAGCACCACUGGAACUGAGACACGGUCCAGACUCCUACGGGAGGCAGCAGUGGGGAAUAUCGGACAAUGGGCGCAAGCCUGAUCCAGCCAUACCGCGUGGGUGAAGAAGGCCUUCGGGUUGUAAAGCCCUUUUGUUGGGAAAGAAAUCCAGCUGGCUAAUACCCGGUUGGGAUGACGGUACCCAAAGAAUAAGCACCGGCUAACUUCGUGCCAGCCGCCGCCGUAA
rnacentral:rRNA from 1 species